UUUCUGUGGGGGCGGAGCGGCCGGCCGCAACUCGCGGUUCGAGCUAGCGCUUCCCCUACAUCCUGCCGCGAACCGUGCUACCAUUAGUUUGGUGGCGCCGGGGAUCGGCUCGUUUACUUUGAGAAAAAUAGAGUGUUCAAAGCAGGCCACACGCCUUGAAUAAGUUAGCAUGGAAUAAUAAUAAAGGACUUCGGUUCUAUUUUGUUGGUGUUCGGGACUGAAGUAAUGAUUGAUAGGGACAGUUGGGGCGGUCAGUAUUCCAAAGCGAGAGGUGAAAUUCUUAGACCUUCGGAAGACUAACAGCUGCGAAAGCGUUCCGCAAGGAUGUUCCCUUUGAUCAAGAACGAAAGUUGGGGGAUCGAAGACGAUCAGAUACCGUCGUAGUCUCAACUAUAAACUAUACCAGCUAGGGAUCGGCCAACGUUAAAUUAUCCGACUUGGUCGGCACCUUAUGAGAAAUCAAAGCAUCUGGGUUCCGGGGGGAGUAUGGUCGCAAGGCUGAAACUUAAAGGAAUUGACGGAAGGGCACCACCAGCCGUGGAGCCUGUGGCUUAAUUUGACUCAACACGGGAAAACUUACCAGGUCCAGACAUAGUAAGGAUUGACAGAUUGAUAGCUCUUUCUUGAUUCUGUGGGUGGUGGUGCAUGGCCGUUCUUAGUUGGUGGAGUGAUUUGUCUGGUUAAUUCCGUUAACGAACGAGACCCCAGCCUACUAAAUAGCGCGGUUGAGCUUUGCUCGGCGCGAGCUUCUUAGAGGGACUAUGAUGCGCGAUAGCACAUGGAAGUUUGGGGCAAUAACAGGUCUGUGAUGCCCUUAGAUGUUCUGGGCCGCACACGGGCUACACUGGCGCCUGCAACGAGCAUAUCAGCUGGCCCGAGAGGGUCUUGGCUAAUCUUUUGAACCGGCGCCGUGCUUGGGAUUGACCAUUGCAAUUGUUGGUCAUGCAACGAGGAAUGCCUUGUAAACGCGAGUCGUCAACUCGCAUUGAAUACGUCCCUGCCCUUUGUACACACCGCCCGUCGCUCUACGAUGAUGUCGAUGAAAUUUCGAA
rnacentral:rRNA from 1 species